GACUUUUUACAUGAUCUCAUAUUUAUUGAUAUAAAAUAAAUAAUAUUUGCGAGAUGUCAAACAAACGGUAAUUUUUGGACGACGUUACACUCUUCGUUUAAUUUAUCGGAACAGACUAUAUUUUAUUAAGCUGGCGCGCCAUCUAUAAACAACAAAUAUUUAUGGCAGAAGACACAUUGUGAAGGAAAAGUUCCAGAGUUGGUACUGACUAAUGCUCUUAUUGUUCGAUCUAAUAUUAUAUGUUGUAUGACAAGGCACUAAAGAAUUCAAAAAUAUUUUGCUGCUAAUCUAUACGAAUUUCAAUUAUUUGUCUUUUAACCUUUAAAAGUGAGACUAGACACUACAGAUGUAAAGAUGUAAAGAUGUACAUUUCUGUAUGAAUAUCCAAUAACUUGUAGCAUGGAAAAAUUUCCUUGCCUAGCAGGACUAGGCUUUACUGUGUCUGUGAAUAAAAGACUGGAGAUAGAUGAAGUAGAAGACAAAUUUAUAACUAAUAAACUACUUCUUGAAUUGAACACCAUUAAAGAAAGGUCCAAUGGUGUUUACACGUACCAGGAUGUCCUCAACUGGAUAUCAAGUCUUAGUGGUAAAGAAAAUGUAACCAACAAAAGCGUAUAUUUAAAGGUAAAAUCUAUACUACUGAAAAUCAAGACAAAAGUUUCAAACCUUAAGAAAAACAAACUUAACAGUGAACAUGUUGAGAAUUAUUUGAAUAUGGUUAUAGACACUGAUUGGUUGUUAGAAAUUCCAGAAACAAGAAAGCGUCAUAACAAUGAUACAGAAAGAAUUUCAAAUGUAAAAUCAAA